GCGACCCCAGCUCGGGCGGGGCUACCCGCUGAGUUUAAGCAUAUCAAUAAGCGGAGGAAAAGAAACUAACGAGGAUUCCCCA
rnacentral:rRNA from 1 species